rnacentral:rRNA from 1 species
CCUACGGGAGGCAGCAGUGAGGAAUAUUGGUCAAUGGGCGCGAGCCUGAACCAGCCAAGUCGCGUGAAGGAAGACGGCCCUACGGGUUGUAAACCUCUUUUAUAAGGGAAUAAAGUGAAGCACGUGUGCCCUUUUGCAUGUACGUUAUGAAUAAGGAUCGGCUAACGCCGUGCCAGCAGCCGCGGUAAUACGGAUGAUUCGAGCGUUAUCCGGAUUUAUUGGGUUUAAAGGGAGCCGAGAUGGGUUGUUAAGUCAGUUGUGAAAAUUUGAGGCUCAACCGUAAAAUUGCAAUUGAUACUGGCAGUCUUGAGUGCAGUUGAGGUAGGCGGAAUUCGUGGUGUAGCGGUGAAAUGCUUAGAUAUCACGAAGAACUCCGAUUGCGAAGGCAGCUUACUAGACUGCCACUGACGUUGAUGCUCGAAAGUGUGGGUAUCAAACAGGAUUAGAUACCCCUGUAGUC